rnacentral:rRNA from 1 species
AGGCCAGACUCCUACGGGAGGCAGCAGUGGGGAAUAUUGCACAAUGGGGGGAACCCUGAUGCAGCAACGCCGCGUGGGUGAAGAAGUACUCCGGUAUGUAAAGCCCUGUCAGCAGGGAAGAAAAUGACGGUACCUGACCAAGAAGCCCCGGCUAACUACGUGCCAGCAGCCGCGGUAAUACGUAGGGGGCAAGCGUUAUCCGGAUUUACUGGGUGUAAAGGGAGCGUAGACGGCUGUGCAAGCCAGAUGUGAAAGCCCGGGGCUCAACCCCGGGACUGCAUUUGGAACUGCGUGGCUUGAGUGUCGGAGAGGCAGGCGGAAUUCCUAGUGUAGCGGUGAAAUGCGUAGAUAUUAGGAGGAACACCAGUGGCGAAGGCGGCCUGCUGGACGAUGACUGACGUUGAGGCUCGAAAGCGUGGGGAGCAAACAGGAUUAGAUACCCCGGUAAG